rnacentral:rRNA from 1 species
AACGUAGGAGGCAAGUGUCAUCCGGAGUUACUGGGCGUAAAGCGCGAGUAGGUGGUUUUUCAAGUUGCGUGUAAAAGCGCCCGGCUAAACUGGGCGAGGCAGGCAAGACUGAAGGGCUAGAGGCAGCUAGAGGAGCGUGGAAUUCGGGGUGUAGCGGUGAAAUGCUUAGAUAUUACGAAGAACUCCAAUUGCGUAGGCAGCGCACCAGGCUACAACUGACGCUGAGGCACGAAGGUGCGGGUAUCAAACAGG